ACCCUGCUCUCAUUACUGUCAUGGAAUCAUUAAACCCUGCCCUCAUUAUUGUCAUGUAAUCAGUAAACCCUGCUCUCAUUAUUGUCAUGUAAUCAGUAAACCCUGCCCUCAUUAUUGUCAUGUAAUCAGUAAACCCUGCCCUCAUUAUUGUCAUGUAAUCAGUAAACCCUGCCCUCAUUAUUGUCAUGUAAUCAGUAAACCCUGCUCUCAGUCUGUCAUGGAAUCAGUAAACCCUGCUCUCAUAUCUGUCAUGGAAUCAGUUAACCCUGCUCUCAUUACUGUCAGGAAAUCAGUAAACCCUGCUCUCAUUACUGUCAGGAAAUCAGUUAACCCUGCUCUCAUAUCUGUCAUGGAAUCAGUAAACCCUGCUAUCAAUGUGUCAGGAAAUCAGUAAACCCUGCACUAAAAUUAACAAAAAAUAUGUUGCCUAGAUUUGGUCAUUUAAUUCAUGAUUGGUCUUUUGCUGUUCUUACAGAAUAACUGCCGAAUUUACGAACGCUCAACACCCACUGAAUAUGGCCGGUGUCGGUAAACGUUGGCAAAAAAAGCGUAAUUAAAUUGUUGCCAGCAGCACAGUUGCAUGAAAACAGCCUAACCAGCUCUGCUAGACUGAGUAAACUGGUCAGAGUGAGGUGUUCUCUCAUUGUGUGUCUGGAAGUAACUCGCAAGCUAGCCAACGUUAGCCAGUUAGCUUGGGUGCUUGACUGCUGUUGUAAGGGCAGAAUGCUCAAAUCAUCACUUCUCCUCGACCAGUGUGGCGCGCUGAACGCUCCGAGGGCGUAACACUCUGAAUUUAUGAAGGGACAAUCUGACAACGCUCUGAGUUUAUGAAUGCCCAGAAAACACUCUGGCACUCCAGAUAAAAUUUAUGAACACACCCGUUGUAUAAACCAGUCUUUAGUCUUGAAAUCUUUGGUUGUUUAGUACAUGGCCUCACAUGUGAAUCCUUAAAGAGAUGGGUGGGGCUAAAGUUUAAUUGUUGUUUUUUAAGUUGUAAAAUUCAAACUAGAUAAAGUAGUAGGUUCUAAUCUGUUUGGAGAAGGGGAUUGUAAAUACAGAUUGUUUUAGAUGAUUUUUACUUUUGCAUGCUGGAGACAAAUGUGAAACCAGCCAUGGAAGCAAACUGAAAACUCAAGGCUACCAACAAGUGCCCCUUUCACAAGUAUGGAAUGCUGUGACCAUAUGGAAUGCUGUGACCUUAUGGAAUGCUGUGACCUUACGGAAUGCUGUGACCUUACGGAAUGCUGUGACCUUACGGAAUGCUGUGACCUUACGGAAUGCUGUGACCUUACGGAAUGCUGUGACCUUAUGCAUCAUUUUAACUGUAUGGCCUUUUAACUUGCAGUGAUGAAAGUUGGAGAUGAAAGUUAAAUAGGUAGUCUACUGCAGCCUGGAGCACGUGGCCACUGUGUGACAAUAAUGCUAGUACAAACCCAGGCGCAGCGAAACACAGCAGGCAGGGGUAAAUCCAGAACAUUUACUGAGGUCUUCACAGAACAAAGGAAAGGACACCUGCACAGUAAUCAAAACAUGAGACCUAAGCAAAGAGAUCUGCCCACAGAGGAACCUAAAUAGCCAGUCAACAGGUGAACCGAGAGGGCAAUCAACACACAGGUGAAACCAAUGAUAACAAUCAGGGAAACCUGGACAC
ensembl:lncRNA